UUGCUCGCUUUGGCAGCAUAUAUACUAAAAUUGGAACAAUACAGAGAAGAUUAGCAUGGUCCCUGCGCAAGGAUGACACGAAAACUCGUGAAGCAUUCUUUUUUUUC
ensembl:snRNA U6 U6 spliceosomal RNA